ensembl:rRNA 5S_rRNA 5S ribosomal RNA
GACUAAGGCCAUACCACCCUGAUCAUGCCUAUCUCAUCUGAUCUCGGAAGCUAAGCAGCGUCAGGCCUGGUUAGUACUUGGAUGGGAGACCACACAAACCUUUUAAAGAAAAUCUGCUUAACCUAAGUCA